rnacentral:rRNA from 1 species
AGCAGCCGCGGUAAUUCCAGCUCCAAUAGCGUAUAUUAAAGUUGUUGCAGUUAAAAAGCUCGUAGUUGAAUUUCGGGAUUAGUACGUUGGUCGUGCCUUCGGUACGUACUGGUGUUACUGAUUCCUACCUUCUGACGAACCAUCAUGUCAUUAAUUUGGUGUGGUGGGAAUCAGGACUGUUACUUUGAAAAAUUGAGUGUUUAAAGCAGGCUCGCGCUUGAAUACAUUAGCAUGGAAUAAUGAAAUAGGACGUUGACCCUAUUUUGUGGUUUCUAGGAUUGACGUAAUGAUUAAUAGGGAUAGUUGGGGCAUUAGUAUUCAAUUGUCAGAGGUGAAAUUCUUGGAUUUAUUGAAGACUAACUACUGCGAAAGCAUUUGCCAAGGAUGUUUCAUUAAUCAAGAACGAAAGUUAGGGGAUCGAAGACGAUCAGAUACCGUCGUAGUCUUAACCAUAAACUAUGCGACUAGGGAUCGGAUGAUGUUAUUUUAAUGACUC